UACGUAGGGAGCGAGCGUUGUCCGGAAUUACUGGGUGUAAAGGGAGUGUAGGCGGGACUGCAAGUCAGAAGUGAAAACUAUGGGCUUAACCCAUAGACUGCUCUUGAAACUGUGGUUCUUGAGUGAAGUAGAGGUAAGCGGAAUUCCUAGUGUAGCGGUGAAAUGCGUAGAUAUUAGGAAGAACACCAGUGGCGAAGGCGGCUUCCUGGACCGCGGCUGACGCUGAGGCCCGAAAGCCAGGGGAGCGAAC
rnacentral:rRNA from 1 species